GAUAGAUAUAUAGAGAAACAAUACCUAAUCAGAUCCCCCAAACAUCGUGAGGCAAUAUAAAAUGUCUGAAAAAAUAUAGUUCUCUGAAAUAUUGCAAGGGAGCCCCAAGACAUUGACAUUCUAAAUUGCUUAGAGCUUAAAUGCUUAAUACAAUCAUGCUUCUCCAUUUUGAGCCAAUCCACCUAACGUGGACUACUUCAUUAAUACAUGCAAUCAUUCUAGAUAGCCUGCAAAACAAGAGGUAAAAGUCAGUAAAUAUUGUACAAAUAAAUUUUUUAGUUGGACUGAAAGGCUGAAAUUAAAAAUCAACAAAUAUAUGCAGGGUUAUUUCAUACUGCUAGUUUAUUGGGCAGCAUUAAUCUCCUUGUCGGCAUAUAAUGUAUAAUCCAAAAUCAUAUUACCAAUUUUGGGGCAACUUUAUACUACUUGCGAAUAUAAAGAAUAUGAUUAACUAACAAAUAUUGGAUUGUAGCAGAUGUGAAAAAAAUACUUCUAUGCUUCAACGAAUCAUAUGGUGUGAGUAUCGUCUGAAAGCUUUUAGGAUAAAUAUAAGGAUAGAAGGCUGUUUUGUUCAAGGAAACAGAAUGACUCUCCUUACACCAAGUCUAAGUUCAUCAUUAUUCAUCAUUGUUACAUGUAUAAAACGGGGAAAUACACAAUGAAUAAGAGGAAUAAGGAUAAAGAGCUGUUAACUUCAUCGCACUGUUCAUCGCACUGGAGCAGCCACACACUUGUACCCGGCACUACUGCGUGUCAAUGCAGAUUAGAGAGAUAUAUAGUUUAGGAUCUAGAGAUGGAAGAAGAUACCUGGGCCGACACUGCUCUCGUUGAUUCAAAAAUCCCUAGGACCAUCCCCCAGCAGCGGCCCCACUCAUCCUCUUCAAGGCUGCCUACCGCCUCGCGCUACUCCUUUUCUCGCUUAUCUCCACCGGCGCUCACCUUUCCGCUGGUGCCAUCCGUCAUGCCCUUCGUCUGACAACAAAAAUAAUUUGUUGUGAAUAUAUAUUGCCAAUUAGGCAUGAACAAUCAUUGCAAACUCAAAAUUCGAUUACUGUAAAAGAAGGAGCUCGAUAUCCACAGCCUCGUGCCCAUGUCCUCUCCCCACCAUGGCCUCAUGCCACCCCGCCAUGGUCCCGCCCCACAACCAACUUCGUCGGUAUCACAGAGAUCGAUGUCAUUGCUGGCGUCCAUCCUCGGCGACGACGACCUGGCAUGGCUCUAGGCCAAGGCGGUUGCCGAGGCAAAGAAUCUCUGCCUGGCCGCCUAGAAGGGCAUGCAGCUGGCGGCCAAGCUGCCGUCCAAGCACACUCCACCUGUGGUCUUCCUGCAGGUCGUAUUGUGGCUGAAGAUACCAAAGAUACCAAAGAUAAACGCAGAAACUUUAAAAAGAUCAUCUCAACAAGGUAUGCAAGUAAUUUCUUUUGGGUGUUUGAAUUGCCACAUCUUGGGUUUUGUUUUCAGUCCAUUAUAUAUUCUAGGGAAAAACUUCAUCUCAUUUCAUAGACCAAAUAAUAUUUAACCACAGGACCAGAUUUGCGUAAACUAAUUUGCAAGGUUUAUUCGAUUUUGUGCAUGACAAGGGGCAAGUAGAAUUUUUUCUGUAUGCACUUAGCAAGAUUAAAGUAAGAGGCACAAAGUGAAUCAAGUGUCUUAACAAGCAAUUUAAAAGUGAAAGUAGAUAAACAACUUACUAAUCCACAUAGAAGUGUGUUGAGUAUUGAAAUUUGAUUUGCCGCAUUGCAAUGGUCCGCUAUGGUCCUGCAGUAAUAUGUGUAUGACAGCAAAAGGAUCUUCAAAUUAGUAUGUACACUAACUUAUCCAUUAUAAUUCGAUAUAGUAUAUGAGAUAACUUGAACAUCUCUAGAAACCAGUGUGGAAAAAAUAUAACAGCCAAAUCGCACAUGUGGAUUUUCAUAUGCACAUUCCCAGACGCUACAAACUUGAUCAGAGCCGGGAGCAAGGAAAUGCAUAUCACAGUUUCAAUGACCGCUAGGAGAACCCUCUCCACAUCUGCGUGUUGAGAGACUUGAGAUAUUAAUUUUGCAGGCACUCCACACAAGCACAUGCAUGUUAUGUUAGCAGAGUAGAAGAGCCAUCAUCUUAAGUUAGGGUAUACAUUAUCAUUUUGGGUAUGAUCAAAUGGAAAUACCUGCUCAUGUCGUCCUUUGAUCCACUCAUCCAAAUCAUCCUACAAAGCUCAUGCAUAAUGGUUUAAGAAAUAAAGUAUAUAUGCUCAAAGGACGAGAUUGAUAGCUAACAAAUAGUUGAUGCUUACAAUUAGCUUGUGGUCUCCUCCUCCAACAUGUGUUUCCUGUUUGAGUGUUGUGAAAGGUCAGGAGGUCUAGGCAGGUCAAGGCGAUGGCCACCUUCAACUUUGGCAAUGCAAACCCCCUCUCGAUGGCCCUCUCCACAACAUCAUCCAUCCGCGUGUUGAGAGACUUGAGCUAUUAAUUUUGGAGGCACUCCACACAAGCACAUGCAUGUUAUGUUAGCAGAGUAGAAGAGCCAUCAUCUUAAGUUAGUGUAUACAUUAUCAUUUUGGGUAUGAUCAAAUGGAAAUACCUGCUCAUGUCGUCCUCUGAUCCACUCAUCCAAAUCAUC
rnacentral:lncRNA from 1 species